rnacentral:rRNA from 1 species
AUGAACGCUGGCGGCGUGCCUAAUACAUGCAAGUCGAGCGAACGGACGAGAAGCUUGCUUCUCUGAUGUUAGCGGCGGACGGGUGAGUAACACGUGGAUAACCUACCUAUAAGACUGGGAUAACUUCGGGAAACCGGAGCUAAUACCGGAUAAUAUUUUGAACCGCAUGGUUCAAAAGUGAAAGACGGUCUUGCUGUCACUUAUAGAUGGAUCCGCGCUGCAAUAGCUAGUUGGUAAGGUAACGGCUUACCAAGGCAACGAUGCAUAGCCGACCUGAGAGGGUGAUCGGCCACACUGGAACUGAGACACGGUCCAGACUCCUACGGGAGGCAGCAGUAGGGAAUCUUCCGCAAUGGGCGAAAGCCUGACGGAGCAACGCCGCGUGAGUGAUGAAGGUCUUCGGAUCGUAAAACUCUGUUAUUAGGGAAGAACAUAUGUGUAAGUAACUGUGCACAUCUUGACGGUACCUAAUCAGAAAGCCACGGCUAACUACGUG